AUCUGGACCUGGCAGGGGAGAUACCAUGAGCACGAAGGUGGUUUUCCCAGGGUGAAGCUUAUCCAUUGCACUCCAGAUGUGCUGACCCUGCAAUUUUUCCAACUGUGGGAAACUCAACUGCAUAAUUUGUGGUAGUGGGGGACUGUGUUCGCGCUCUCCCCUU
ensembl:snRNA U1 U1 spliceosomal RNA